rnacentral:rRNA from 1 species
UGGCUCAGGACGAACGCUGGCUGCGUGCUUAACACAUGCAAGUCGAACGCUGAAGCCCCAGCUUGCUGGGGUGGAUGAGUGGCGAACGGGUGAGUAACACGUGAGUAACCUGCCCCUGACUUCGGGAUAAGCCCGGGAAACUGGGUCUAAUACUGGAUAYGACCUGUCCUCGCAUGAGGGUGGGUGGAAAGUUUUUUCGGUUGGGGAUGGGCUCGCGGCCUAUCAGUUUGUUGGUGAGGUAAUGGCUCACCAAGACGACGACGGGUAGCCGGCCUGAGAGGGCGACCGGCCACACUGGGACUGAGACACGGCCCAGACUCCUACGGGAGGCAGCAGUGGGGAAUAUUGCACAAUGGGGGAAACCCUGAUGCAGCGACGCAGCGUGCGGGAUGACGGCCUUCGGGUUGUAAACCGCUUUCAGCAGGGAAGAAGCGAAAGUGACGGUACCUGCAGAAGAAGUACCGGCUAACUACGUGCCAGCAGCCGCGGUAAUACGUAGGGUACGAGCGUUGUCCGGAAUUAUUGGGCGUAAAGAGCUCGUAGGUGGUUGGUCACGUCUGCUGUGGAAACGCAACGCUUAACGUUGCGCGUGCAGUGGGUACGGGCUGACUAGAGUGCAGUAGGGGAGUCUGGAAUUCCUGGUGUAGCGGUGAAAUGCGCAGAUAUCAGGAGGAACACCGGUGGCGAAGGCGGGACUCUGGGCUGUAACUGACACUGAGGAGCGAAAGCA